rnacentral:lncRNA from 1 species
AAAGAGUGGGACUGGACUGAGCGACUUCACUUUCACUUUCCUAUUAUGCCCGCAGCAACCCUGGGGGCGAGGUACUGUUUCUACUCAGCUUUUACAGCGCGUGGAGCCACUGUGUACAUCAUCUUAAUGGGUCAUCAAGCAGCCUGUCGCUUUCUUCCCGUGGAGCAGUGGUCAGUAGUUUCUGGCUAUUCACAGAGGGCG